rnacentral:rRNA from 1 species
CCAAUAGCGUAUAUUAAAGUUGUUGCAGUUAAAAAGCUCGUAGUUGAACUUCGGGGUCUACCCAUUGGUCAGGCUUAAUUGUCUGCACUGGUGAGAUGGAUCUCUACCUUCUGAGGAACUUUCAUGCCAUUUAUUUGGUGUGAUGGGAAAUCAGGACUGUUACUUUGAAAAAAUUAGAGUGUUUAAAGCAGACUAUCGUCUGAAUACAUUAGCAUGGAAUAAUGAAAUAGGACGGACUGAUUCUAUUUCGUUGGUUUCUAGGAUCACCGUAAUGAUUAAUAGGGAUAGUUGGGGGCAUUAGUAUUCAAUUGUCAGAGGUGAAAUUCUUGGAUUUAUUGAAGACUAACUACUGCGAAAGCAUUAGCCAAGGAUGUUUUCAUUAAUCAAGAACGAAAGUUAGGGGAUCGAAGACGAUCAGAUACCGUCGUAGUCUUAACCAUAAACUAUGCCGACUAGGGAUCGGACGAAGUUAAUUUUAUAAUGACGCGUUCGGCACCUUACG